CAAGGUGCUGCAUGGUUGUCGUUCAGCUCGUGCCGUGAGGUGUCAGGUUAAGUCCUUAUAACGAGUCGCAACCCCUGUCGUUAGUUGCCAGCGAGUCAUUGUCGGGAACUCUUAACGAGACUGCCAGUGUAAACUGUGAGGAAGGUGGGGAUGACGUCAAAUCAUCACGGCCCUUACGCCUUGGGCCACACACGUGCUACAAUGGCCAGUACAGAGAGCAGCCACUUAGUGAUAAGGAGCGAAUCUUCAAAACUGGUCUCAGUUCGGAUCGGAGUCUGCAACUCGACUCCGUGAAGCUGGAAUCGUCUAGUAAUCGGAUAUCAGCCAUGAUCCGGUGAAUACGUUCCCGGGCCUUGUACACACCGCCCGUCAAGCCAUGGAAGCUGGGGGUACCUGAAGUCGGUUCGCCGUCAAGGAGCUGCCUAGGUGUAAAACUGGUAACUAGGGUCU
rnacentral:rRNA from 1 species